UGGGGCUGGGCAUGCUAGGCAUGCAGUCUGUGAUCUAGCAUGGAAUUCUCUGGGAAGUACUUUUGGGAGUGAGGUGGUGUGAAUUUAUACAGAACAAAAGCAGCACAUUAAGAAGGACACCCACAGGUGGAGCACUUAGUCACUCCCACCGGCCAACAGCGCUUGCUUAGGGAGCCGGAUGAGGAAAGCUCAUUUAAAAAUAUGGUAACAUCUAUGUGUGAGAUGCUGAGUGAUGCUCUCAGAUGAAACCCAAAGAUGAUGACAUCCUUGCAGACACCCAGAUCAUAUCCAGGCAUGAUCCCUCUUCUCCAGACUUUGAAUUGUCU
rnacentral:lncRNA from 1 species